CCCUGCUGGAGCAGCAAGUACCCACAGUGCGGUAGCACAGAGAGGACCACUAUCUGCACUGUCAGCACUUUAGCCCCAGCAGGG
rnacentral:pre_miRNA from 1 species